GCUGCAUAAGUUAUGGAAGUUUGAUCCUUCCGUGGUGACACUUAUCGAAGCCUUUGCAGCCUCGCAAGAGGUUGAUAUCAGCGACUAUAAAGAAUUGACAUCGCAUGCAAGUCGGCUAUGCCGGCGACACUUUCGAACUGACGGGGACACCCUAAAGCCGGCCACACCAACCCGCAGGUGGAAACAUCGCGGGGGCCCAUGCCAACCACAUGGGAAGGUAAUAGAUGACACGGAUAAUUCUGCUCUCGCA
rnacentral:misc_RNA from 1 species